GUAGGGAAUAUUGCACAAUGGAGGAAACUCUGAUGCAGCGACGCCGCGUGAGUGAUGAAGGCCUUCGGGUCGUAAAGCUCUGUCGCAGGGGAAUAACACAAUGAAGGUACCCUGUAAGAAAGGAUCGGCUAACUUCGUGCCAGCAGCCGCGGUAAGACGAGGGAUCCUAGCGUUGUUCGGAAUCAUUGGGCGUAAAGCGGAUGUAGGUGGCUAUGUAAGUCAGAUGUGAAAGCCUGGGGCUCAACCGCAGAAGUGCAUUUGAUACUGCGUAGCUUGAGUGUCGGAGAGGUUACUAGAAUUGUUGGUGUAGUGGUGAAAUACGUAGAUAUCAACAGGAAUACCGGAGGCGAAGGCGGGUAACUGGCCGAACACUGACACUGAGAUCCGAAAGCGUGGGGAUCAAACAGGAUUAGAUACCCCAGUAGUCC
rnacentral:rRNA from 1 species